AACAGGCGCUUGAAUAAAAUUGUUUGGCAAGCGUUAUCUCAAGAGGAAAAAGAAAAGUUAGAUGCAUACAAGCCAAUGCGGUACUUGGAAAACAAGGCAGCUUUAAAUGGGGCAUUAGAACGGUUGAAUUGGCCCAUUUCACUGAAGGAGCUGUCAAUGCUGGAAAAUGAAAUCCUAGCUGGGAAAAUGUAUAUCCAACAGGCCAUGGAACUCCAGGAGGCUGCCAAGAAGGAGAAUUAUGUGAACAAGAGAGGAGAG